rnacentral:rRNA from 1 species
AGCCUUAGCGUGAUGGCAUAAAAGUAGCGUAAGUGAUUUGUUUUUUUAUUGUUUUCAAGUAUGAAUGAAGUUUUUAACAACUUUUUUGUUUUUAUUUUAUUUGAACUAUUUUUUUGAUUAAAAAUUAUUAAUUAAAAUAUAACAAAGAUAAGUCUUCGGAAAUUUUUUUUUAGUAGAUUUUUUUUUUCUAUUAAUAUUUUCUUGGGGAUGGAUUUUAAAAAAUUUUUUUUUACUAUUUUUAUUUUUUUAAAUUACUCCGGAGUUAACAGGGUUGUAGACACGUAAAUAGUUUUUUAUAUUAGUGUGCUGCGCUACAUCGAUGUUGUAUAUUUUUUAUUAAGGAGGAGAGAUUGUUUUUUUUUUGAGACUGUUCUUCUUGUAUAAAAAUUGAACUUGAUAUUAGUUUAGUUCGUCGUGAGACAGAGCGGUUUAUCUUGUGUAUUUUUUUUUUUUGAUGGUAUUAGUACGAAAGGAAUGCAAUGUGGGU